rfam:Clonorchis sinensis DNA, scaffold: 1082, strain: Henan.
GUCAGGGUGGCCGAGCGGUCUAAGGCGCCAGACUCAAGGGAUUCUUUGCCUACUGGGUGUUCUGGUCCACGAAUGUGGGCGUGGGUUCGAAUCCCACCUCUGACA